AUGGCGUCCUCCUCGGCCCUGCUCACGGGGGAGCGCCUCGUCGUCUUCCUCUUCGCCGCGCGCGUCGCGCUCGCCGCCCCGGCCGGCCUCGCGGCGCCGCUCGCGCUCCUCGCGGGGGCCGCCCUCGCCGUCGAGCUCGCCGUGGACCGCUCCGCCGCGGCCCCUUCCUCCCCGCUCCGCCGGUUCAGGACAAGGCCAGGUGCUUCAUCAGGCAUUCUUCUUGGCGCAACUACUUUGCCAUGUGUCAUGCUUGCACGGUUAAUCCAGCUUUCGAGGAUUUUACCAACAGAUCCCAAUGGAGCACAAGAAUUUGCAUACCUCGAAAUGCAGUAUUGGGCAGUAUCCAUCAGCUGCGCCAGUGUGCUGGCUUUCUUCCUUUGGCAUCUACGUCAGUCUGCCAACAAUGAGAUUUCUAAAGCUUUGAAAUAUGGUUCAUUGAUGGUAGUUUUAUACCUCGUGACAUUCUUGCUGUUCUUCCUACUGAAGACUGAUGGAGGUCUGUUAGCGAUGACCAAAAAUGGGUAUCUACUCUGCCAUGGUGUGGCUGCUGUGAUCUUGAUCAAGCACAUUCUAGAGAAGUUCCCUUCAUGUUCAUCUUUUGGGGAAGGACUUCUGGUAUCAAGUGGUCUCGUUGUUUACUUUGGUGAUAUUCUGGCUCGUACUCUUUCAAAGAUGGAGGUGUCUGCAUCAUCAGGAGCAUUCAUACACACACCUGGAACUCAAAGCGAGAUAGCCACCGUCAUUCAGGGGGUUUUGCUUGGUCUUUUUCUACUUCCCUUGCUGUACAAAAGUUCUCUUCAAGUUUGGGUUUACUGUCGAACAUUGGGCAAGCAACGAACACAAGCAAUUGAGAAACGAGCAGAAAAAAGAGCAGGUUCUGCUGUAUUUUAUAUCUCGUUGUUAGUGGUGUUAUUGUUCUUGGUGCCGUCAUGGACGCGGCUUGUUCAAGGUCUUGAAGUCCAUCCGUUUGUUUGGGUUCUUAACUACAUGUUCACCAAUUCAGAUGAACGGCUUCUUUUAUGUGCAUACUGGAUAUUUGUCAUAUGUGUAUCAAUUAGAAGGUUCUACAGUAUAUCAAAGCAAAGCAAAACAGAGAGAAUUCUUUUGCGCAAGUAUUAUCAUCUUGUUGCUGUCCUGAUUUUCUCUCCUGCCGUUAUAUUUCAGCCUGCUUUCUUGGACUUGGCAUUUGGUGCAGCAUUUGCUCUUUUCUUAAUACUGGAGAUGAUUCGUGUUUGGGAAGUAUACCCUCUUGGGCAUACCAUACAUCAAUUCAUGAACGCUUUCACUGACCACCGUGAUUCUGAGAUUCUAAUUAUUAGUCAUUUCUCACUCUUACUGGGCUGCGCACUUCCUAAAUGGAUGUCAUCUGGAUUCAAUGACCGACCCCUAGCCCCUUUUGCUGGAAUUCUCAGCUUAGGGAUAGGUGAUACAAUGGCAUCAAUGAUAGGGUACAAGUACGGUGUCCUAAGAUGGAGCAAGACAGGAAAGAAAACAAUUGAAGGCACGGCAGCAGGCAUAACCUCUGUACUGGCAGCCUGCUCAAUUCUGGUGACACUGUUAGCUUCAAGCGGAUACAUUCUUUCACAGCACUGGUUGUCACUUUCGGUUGCUGUGACGUUGAGCUUAUUACUGGAAGCAUAUACGACACAGCUGGAUAACGCUUUCAUACCCCUUGUGUUCUAUAGCCUUCUAUGUCUGUAA
rnacentral:rRNA from 1 species